UACGAAGGGGGCUAGCGUUGUUCGGAUUUACUGGGCGUAAAGCGCACGUAGGCGGAUCGUUAAGUUGGGGGUGAAAUCCUGGAGCUCAACUCCAGAACUGCCUUCAAUACUGGCGAUCUAGAGUCCGGAAGAGGUGAGUGGAACUCCUAGUGUAGAGGUGGAAUUCGUAGAUAUAGGAAGAACACCAGUGGCGAAGGCGGCUCACUGGUCCGGUACUGACGCUGAGGUGCGAAAGCGUGGGGAGCAAACAGG
rnacentral:rRNA from 1 species